GGAUGAACGCUAGUAGUAUGCUUAACACAUGCAAGUCUAACGGAAAUUUUUUCGUGGCGUACGGGUGAGUAAACGCAGAAUUUUGCCUUUCAGAUCAGGACAAAUAUUUUCUUCGGGAAAUAAAAUACUGAAUGUAAAUAAAAGGUUUAAUCCGCUGAAAGAUAAAUCUGCUUAAGAUUAGGUUGUUGGUAAUUUAAAAGCUUACCAAGCCAAUGAUCUUUAGUUGGUCUGAGAGGAUGAUCAACCACACUGGAACUGAAAUAAGGUCCAGGCUAAUACGUUGGCCAGCAGUGAGGAAUAUUGGACAAUGAACGAAAGUUUGAUCCAGCAAUACUAAUUGGGUUACGACGGCUUAUUUAGUUGUAAGAUCCUUUAAUUAAAAAAGAUAAUGACAUUAUUUAAUUGAAUUAGUCCUGGCUAAUACUCGUGCCAGCAGCCGCGGUAAUACGGGAAGGGCAAGCGUUAUCCGGCAUGACUGGGCGUAAAGAGUCCGUAGACGGUAAAGUAAGUUUUUUGUUAAAUUUUAAGACUCAAUCUUAACACAGCAAUUAAUACUACUUUACUUUGAGUUUAAUACAGAAAAGUAGAAUUUUAUACGGUAGAGGUGAAAUUUGCAGAUAUAUAAAGGAAUGCCAACAGCGAAGGCAACUUUUUGGUAUAAACUGACGUUGAGGGACGAAAGCGUGGGUAGCAAACGGGAUUAGAGACCCCGGUAGUCCACGCCGUAAAUUCUGAGUGCUGUAAUUUAAUUGUAAUAUUUGCGAAAAUAUUAUUUAGAUUUUCAAGCUAACGCAAUAAGCACUCCGCCUGAAGAGUACGAUCGCAAGAUUGGAACUCAAAGGAAUUGACGGGGGUCUAACACUAGUGGUGGAGCAUGUGGUUUAAUGCGAUAAUCCGCGCAAAACCUUACCAAUUCUUGACAUAAUUAAAUAAUUAGAUUAAGUUACAUGAUGUACUUAAUUCAAUUACUUUUUUACAGGUGUUGCACGACUGUCGUCAGCUCGUGUCGUGAGAUGUUUGGUUAAGUCCUGAAACGGGCGUAACUCUUACUUUUAAAUUUUUAACGUAUUAAAGAUUUCUUUAAUUGCUUUAAAAGUACGGUCAAUGAUAAGUUGAAGGAAGGUAAGAACAAAGUCAAGUCAAUGUGACCCUAAUGAAUUGGGCUACUUCAUGUGCUACAAUGAAAAUUACAAAAAGUGACGAAAAAGAAAUUUCAAGUUAAUCAACAAAAAUUUUCCCAGUUCGGAUUGUAGACUGCAACUCGUCUACAUGAAGGUGGAAUCACUAGUAAUCGCAAAUCAGCACGUUGCGGUGAACAUGUAACUUGACCUUGUACACACCGCCCGUCAC
rnacentral:rRNA from 1 species